rnacentral:rRNA from 1 species
GUGGGGAAUCUUCCGCAAUGGACGAAAGUCUGACGGAGCAACGCCGCGUGAGUGAUGAAGGUCUUCGGAUUGUAAAGCUCUGUUAAUCGGGACGAAAGAGCCUAGUGUGAAUAAUGCUAGGAAGUGACGGUACCGGAAUAGAAAGCCACGGCUAACUACGUGCCAGCAGCCGCGGUAAUACGUAGGUGGCAAGCGUUGUCCGGAAUUAUUGGGUGUAAAGCGCGCGCAGGCGGAUCUGCCAGUCUGUCUUAAAAGUUCGGGGCUUAACCCCGUGAUGGGAUGGAAACUACAGAUCUAGAGUAUCGGAGAGGAAAGUGGAAUUCCUAGUGUAGCGGUGAAAUGCGUAGAUAUUAGGAAGAACACCAGUGGCGAAGGCGACUUUCUGGACGAAAACUGACGCUGAGGCGCGAAAGCCAGGGGAGCGAACGGGAUUAGAAACCCGGGUAGUCC